GUCUUGGUGGCACAAUGGGUCAGUGAAUCUGGCUGUUAACCAGAAGGUUGGUGGUUCAAGCCCACCCAGGGAUG